CCUACGGGAGGCAGCAGUGGGGAAUCUUGCGCAAUGGGCGAAAGCCUGACGCAGCAACGCCGCGUGCGGGAAGAAGGCUUUCGGGCUGUAAACCGCUUUCAGCAGGAACGAAAAUGACGGUACCUGCAGAAGAAGGAGCGGCCAACUAUGUGCCAGCAGCCGCGGUGAUACAUAGGCUUCAAGCGUUGUCCGGAUUUAUUGGGCGUAAAGAGUUCGUAGGCGGUCGAGUAAGUCGGGUGUGAAAAUUCUGGGCUCAACCCAGAGACGCCACCCGAUACUGCUUGACUUGAGUUCGAUAGGGGAGUGGGGAAUUCCUAGUGUAGCGGUGAAAUGCGCAGAUAUUAGGAGGAACACCGGUGGCGAAGGCGCCACUCUGGAUCGAUACUGACGCUGAGGAACGAAAGCAUGGGUAGCAAACAGGAUUAGAUACCCUGGUAGUCCAUGCGUAACGGUAGGUCGACUAGGUAGGUGGGUUUCGUUAUUAACGUAAACGUACCGCCGCCGUCGCUACGCAUAAGUAGCCCGCCGUCGGGAGGUACGGUCGCGAGAACUAAACUUAAACUAGAUAGACGCGNGAGACGNGCCGACGACGACGACGAGGAGUAGG
rnacentral:rRNA from 1 species